UACGUAGGGUGCGAGCGUUGUCCGGAAUUAUUGGGCGUAAAGAGCUUGUAGGCGGUCUGUCGUGUCUGCUGUGAAAAUCCGGGGCUCAACCCCGGACUUGCAGUGGGUACGGGCAGACUAGAGUGUGGUAGGGGAGACUGGAAUUCCUGGUGUAGCGGUGAAAUGCGCAGAUAUCAGGAGGAACACCGAUGGCGAAGGCAGGUCUCUGGGCCACUACUGAUGCUGAGAAGCGAAAGCAUGGGGAGCGAACAGG
rnacentral:rRNA from 1 species